rnacentral:rRNA from 1 species
GAUGAACGCUAGCGGGAGGCUUAACACAUGCAAGCCGAGGGAGAAGUUGUUUUCGGACAACGGACACCGGCGGACGGGUGAGUAACAUGUAUGCAACUUGCCUCUAUCAGUGGGAUAACCCGGGGAAACCCGGACUAAUACCGCAUAACAAAUGGAUCAGCAUUGAUUUAUUUUAAAAGAUUUAUCGGAUAGAGAUAGGCAUGCGUAGGAUUAGUUAGUUGGUGAGGUAACGGCUCACCAAGACGAUGAUCCUUAGGGGGCCUGAGAGGGUGAUCCCCCAACCGGGUAGUGGGACACGAGCCAGAAUCCUACGGGGGGCAGAAGUGGGGAAUGUUGGACAAGGGGUGAGAGCCUGAACCAGCCAUCCCGCGGGCAGGAAAACGGCCCUAUGGGUUGAAAACUGCUUUUAUACAGGAAAAAACCUACUCACGUGGGGGUAGUUAAAGGUACUGAAAGAAAAAGCAUCGGCAAACUCCGG